UACGGAGGGGGCUAGCGUUGUUCGGAAUUACUGGGCGUAAGGCGCGCGUAGGCGGCUUUGUAAGUUAGAGGUGAAAGCCCGGAGCUCAACUCCGGAACUGCCUUUAAAACUGCAUCGCUUGAAUCCAGGAGAGGUGAGUGGAAUUCCGAGUGUAGAGGUGAAAUUCGUAGAUAUUCGGAAGAACACCAGUGGCGAAGGCGGCUCACUGGACUGGUAUUGACGCUGAGGUGCGAAAGCGUGGGGAGCAAACAGG
rnacentral:rRNA from 1 species